rnacentral:misc_RNA from 1 species
AUAACACUAGGCACGAUCGCCCUUAGACUAUGAACCUUCACAACUUCCACCUCGUCAGGAAUAGAAACCACUUCUAAGGGUCAGUAUUCGUGUGGCCUUAGAACCAAAGCCUGAGAACCGUGAUGCAAACCACCCCACCUGAGCUUGAAUUUUUGUCACAAUGUCUUGUGUCACCACACUCAAAACAAUCCCUUCUGGGCAUUGACACGAGCAACUUGAAUGACCGAAAA